GGAGAGGUCGCGUAGUGGCCUAGCGCGCGAGUCUGGAGUACUCGUGUACCGAAAGGUACCGUGGGUUCAAAUCCCACCCUCUCCG
rnacentral:tRNA from 1 species